AAUCAACGCUGGCGGCGUGCCUCAGACAUGCAAGUCGAACGAUUAAAGCUCUCUUCGGAGAGUGUAUAGAGUGGCGCACGGGUGAGUAACACGUAAGUAAUCUACCCUCGAGUGGGGAAUAACGUCCGGAAACGGACGCUAAUACCGCAUAAUGCAGCGGCACCGCAAGGUGACAGUUGUUAAAGAUUUUAUCGCUUGAGAAGGAGCUUGCGGCAGAUUAGCAGUUGGUAAGGUAAUGGCUUACCAAGGCUACGAUCUGUAACCGGUCUAAGAGGACGGUCGGUCACACUGACACUGAAUAACGGGUCAGACUCCUACGGGAGGCAGCAGUCGGGAAUUUUGGGCAAUGGGCGAAAGCCUGACCCAGCAACGCCGCGUGAAGGAUGAAGUAUUUCGGUAUGUAAACUUCGAAAGAAUGGGAAGAAUCAAUGACGGUACCAUUUAUAAGGUCCGGCUAACUACGUGCC
rnacentral:rRNA from 1 species